rnacentral:rRNA from 1 species
CAGUCGCCGCGGGAACACGAAGGGUGCAAGCGUUACUCGGAAUUACUGGGCGUAAAGCGUGCGUAGGUGGUGGUUUAAGUCCGUUGUGAAAGCCCUGGGCUCAACCUGGGAAUUGCAGUGGAUACUGGGUCACUAGAGUGUGGUAGAGGAUAGUGGAAUUUCCGGUGUAGCAGUGAAAUGCGUAGAGAUCGGAAGGAACAUCUGUGGCGAAGGCGACUAUCUGGGCCAACACUGACACUGAGGCACGAAAGCGUGGGGAGCAAACAGGAUUAGAUACCCCGGUAGUCCCUGUCUCUUAUAC